AUUGAACGCUGGCGGAAUGCUUUACACAUGCAAGUCGAACGGCAGCACGGGGGCAGCCCUGGUGGCGAGUGGCGAACGGGUGAGUAAUACAUCGGAACGUGCCCGGUCGUGGGGGAUAACGUAGCGAAAGUUACGCUAAUACCGCAUACGAUCUGAGGAUGAAAGCGGGGGACCUUCGGGCCUCGCGCGAUCGGAGCGGCCGAUGUCAGAUUAGGUAGUUGGUGGGGUAAAGGCCUACCAAGCCGACGAUCUGUAGCUGGUCUGAGAGGACGAUCAGCCACACUGGGACUGAGACACGGCCCAGACUCCUACGGGAGGCAGCAGUGGGGAAUUUUGGACAAUGGGCGCAAGCCUGAUCCAGCCAUUCCGCGUGCAGGACGAAGGCCUUCGGGUUGUAAACUGCUUUUGUACGGAACUAAAAGGCUCUGGCUAAUACCUGGGGCUCAUGACGGUACCGUAAGAAUAAGCACCGGCUAACUACGUG
rnacentral:rRNA from 1 species